AGCGAACGCUGGCGGCAGGCUUAACACAUGCAAGUCGAACGGGCAUAGCAAUAUGUCAGUGGCAGACGGGUGAGUAACGCGUGGGAACGUACCUUUUGGUUCGGAACAACACAGGGAAACUUGUGCUAAUACCGGAUAAGCCCUUACGGGGAAAGAUUUAUCGCCGCAAGAUCGGCCCGCGUCUGAUUAGCUAGUUGGUAGGGUAAUGGCCUACCAAGGCGCCGAUCAGUAGCUGGUCUGAGAGGAUGAUCAGCCACAUUGGGACUGAGACACGGCCCAAACUCCUACGGGAGGCAGCAGUGGGGAAUAUUGGACAAUGGGCGAAAGCCUGAUCCAGCCAUGCCGGGUGAGUGAUGAAGGCCCUAGGGUUGUAAAGCUCUUUUGUGCGGGAAGAUAAUGACGGUACCGAAAGAAUAAGCCCCGGCUAACUUCGUG
rnacentral:rRNA from 1 species